rnacentral:lncRNA from 1 species
UUCCAUCAUCACAGACCAUUAUAAAGACACUCAAACACAUACUUUACAUCCUUUGAUUCAUCUAAUCUCAUCACUACACAUAUUAUAUCUCUAGCAAAACCCAAAAACACUACAUAUGUUUAUCAUGUUAUCUUUACAUCGUGCACUGACAUGGUAAAACCGCAAUACCAUAACUUUAUCCCCCCUUAGCAUUAACCAUAUUAUGGGAUAACCCAACAAAACCAUACAUACAUCCAUAAGGAAAACCCAUCACAAUAUGACAUAAACCCUAUCCCCAUGCAUACACAAAGCCUUUCCCAACAACAACCAUAGAUAAUCAUAUCCACAAUUAUGCACACAUGCAUCAAAACUAUAAUUAACCAAUAAAAAUAAUCAAAAUUACAUGAAAUACAACAAACAAAAAACAUAGGUAAGUUUCUUCAUACCUUGGCCAAUACUAGGGCUUUAUCUACAACCCUGAAAACACCAUCAAUCUUCCCUUUACUCUAAGGGUUUUUGUUGUUCUUUCUCAUCUCUCCCAAACGUUUCUCUCUCCUUUGCUUCUCUCUUUAAUUUAGAGUUUCUAGGGUUUCUAAAACACAAAUGUCACCCCUCUCUCUCUAUCUUAAUAUUUAUAAAACAAUUCAACUCUAUCUUUAAUAUAUCACCACUUAUAAUAAUAUAUUUUAACAACCAAAUCUAUCUAAAUAUCUAUUCUCCUUCUAUCUCACCUCCAUCAUUUAUCUUUUAUUUUGUUAUUUUAUUUACACACUUUUACUUUCUACACUCCCUUAUUUAAUUUCUUCACCAAUUAAAUAAAGGUAAAAGAUCAUUUUGCCCUUGAGCAAAAAUACAAAUAAAACAAAGGUUUCCCUUAAUCCCCUUUCUCUCUAGAAUUGAACCCACACCAUUUAAUCCUAAAUUAUCCUUCCAUUAGCAAGCCAACACAUCACAUUGAUAAUAUCACACACACACGCACACACACACAUCAAUCACCCAAUUAUCAACAUAUCAAUCAUGUGUUGCACUUUAUUAAUA